CUUCGAUACUCAGAUUAUGAAGAUUAAUUUCAAUUUCUUUCACAUUUCCGUCGAUUUCAUGUUUAAAAAGGUCAAACAGCUAGUUUGGUUAAAAAACUAUACUUCGUUGCACUGGCAGAGCCUCCCCAACGUCAUUUCAAUCUUCCCAUCACACCGCGCGCGCUCACUUUUAUUCAGGAAACUUCAUGUAAGUUAUUUGUAAAUACUUGCGGAGGCUCUGCGGAGGAGAGAGUUCAAUACGUAUAUCUUUCUUAAUAUCUUUUAAUGCUUCCCCAGUGCAUGUUAUGUUCCAAUUCUCUCGAAUGAAUGUGCGUAAAAGGGGUAAAACGCGGAAACGGAACGGAACGGACUGGCGGAACCGGAAUGGCGGAACCGGAAAAGCGGAAACGGAAUAGAGGGUAAAACGCGGAAUAGAGGGUAAAACGCGGAAUAGAGGGUAAAACGCGGA